GUGUCAGAAUCUACGGACUUUCAGAUGAUCAAGAUGAAAAACUUCCUGGUUUCUCACUUUCCUCAGAUUGCCACCUACACUACGAUCAUUGUGAUUUUCACACACAAUGUUUUGUUUGAUAGAGAAGGGGCCUGCACCUGCCAGGAUCAGAAAGUUCACUGCAAUUUAUACAUCAGUAUGCCGAUUUUUAUAAUAUUCCUUUUGUUACUUUGGAAGGACGAGGACUUCAAUGGUACCUGGAGGGCGUGCUGCUGUAUGAAGAAAAGGAGGAUAUGUAAAAAAAUUUGCUAUCUUGUUGUUCAGAUGGUAAAAGCUUCUGUGAUCAGUCUGCUGUGGGUCGUCUCUGUAUUAUUUGAUGGAGAUUGGUACGCUUGCUGUCAGAACCACCUGGAUAAAGGAAAGGAUCAGAUUCCUUGCAAGACAAACAGAACCAUAGAGGAACAAGCCAUCGUUGAUAACCUGAAAAAUCAGUCAAAGAUUAAUGGCCUGUAUGUACUGCUGGGCCUCCUCCUCCUGAUUUCCUGCUUCUCUUUACUAAAGUGGUGUGGCUGCUGCAGGAAAUGUUACAUGGAUGGAGAUGGACUUUAUGAGCUGAUCAUAAUAAAAGAAGAAGAAAAUAUUGUGAAUCAGAUUUUGAAAGAAAGAGCCAAAGAAGCUCUGAAAAAAAAGGUUGACGUAAUACUGGAUAGGAACGACAGGAACGAAUAUAUGGACUGCUAUGAACCUGCUCAAGAAGUGAUCGAUCAACUGUGGCCAGAAGGAAAUCAGGGAACUGGAGAUGCAGAUUUUGGGUCCUGCUUGCAGCGCCGUCGAUGGAGGCCUCAGUGAGCAGAGAGCCGUCUCUCCUCCGAGAUAAACGUCCGCAGACAGAAGAGAAGAGCAAAGCUCCAGCAGAUCAUCAUCACUCUCCUUCCUUCAAACAAGCCGCGCGGCUGAAUAUCAACAGCAGGAAGAUGGAAGAAAGCAGAAGGAAAGUCCAUCCAAACAAACACCGUCGGUGAGUUUGAUGUGGAAUGUCAUGAAAAAUUAAUCUACUGUAGCUUCGCCCGCCCCGGCGCCUGAUGCGUAUUUCUGCGACACACACAGCAGCCUGAAGCUAGCGAUCAUCCCGACUCAGCAGAGAGAAAUGCUGGCGUGAGGUCAUUUCCUGCCGCUGUUUCAGUGGGAGCUGCAGAAACAGAAAGACUCCCACCGCAGGGUUUCAUCUGCAUCAACGCAGCGCCGCGCGCUAGCCUGAUUAUUAAACCACUGCAGGUGCAAACCGAGCUACCCAGCUUGAGACAAGCAGUUUGUUAGCUGACCUCUGACCCUCUGCUGCCACGCAUGCUUGCAGCGCGCCGAUGCACAAGAAAGAUAAACUUGCGCUGUUUUUAUUCGGCUGAUUUUAAAACCUGGAAGCUCCGACAGGCUGAGGAUCGUUUCAGCUUAAGCAUCUUCUCAGCUCCAGGAAGUGAAGCUUCGCUGUUAUUAGUCAGACAGAAGAAAAGCUCCCGGACGACCCAGAGGCCUCCAGCUUCAGCAAACCGCCAUGAAACGGCUGAAGAGAUUUAAUUUACUACAACAGGAUAUUUAUAGUCUAAAAAAUGAACAUGCAGAACCACAACAGUCAUUAAUCCUGCAUAAUGUUGGUAGAAGAACAAUGUAGAGAAAUAUUUAAGAAAAUAAACAGUUUGUCUGAAAUCUCACCUUCCAUUAGGAGUUAGGAUGUUUUACCACCUGAUUAAUUUUAGACUCUUUAAGGCCUUAAUUUUAGAUACACAAAUGUAAGACUUUUUAAGGCAGAGUGGACGCCUUGCUAAUUAUGGCACAGUUUGAUCCCAUUUCAUUCCUCAUUAAAACCUCAUUUCAUCUCAUUUAAUUGUCUCAUUGCUUCCUAUGUUCCUUAAUCUGCCAUUAUGCUCUUAUUUCAUCCCAGUUAUCCCUGUUAAUCCUCACUAUUCCUCUUUUUUCUUAAUUCUUUCCCCUUUAAUUAAAUUUUAUGUAAAGGUUAUGCUUCCAUGAACCGGUUGGGAUAUUUUAUGGCCUAUUCAAAACAUGAUCAUUACACUUUUUGCACAUCAUCAUUCUUACAUAGUGACGUUUUGAUCUGUUCAGUACAGCGGUAAAACCAGAUGACCAAACCUGCUGGAACUCUGCUUGGGUUGCUAGGUAACUGGCAGAACUCCACUGGGGUUGCUAGGUAACAGAGCGGUGCCUGGUAACUCGUUACAUUCCGGAGGUUUUUGAAACGCCUCAACUCCGAGUCAAUCUAAGUUUUCUCUGGACUCACUUAUAGAUUUAUUUAUAGAUAAACAUAUUUUGAUGCACAUGCUUGUUAGUGUUUUAUUUUAUUUAUUUUAUAUUUAGGUCAUAUUCAAAUUACUUACAAUAUCACACUAAUGUAUACGUUCUUUUAUAAAUUUUAUAUCGCUCAUGGUUGGAUUUGUAUGAACUAAUAUUUGAAACUUUGGAUGGAGUCAACAGAUUCGUCAUUUCCCUUUGGAGAUCAAUAAAUUAUCUUCUAAUCAAAUCCAAAUACUUCAUUGAUCCCAAAAGGGAUUAAAUGUUAUUGUAACUCAUGAAUUCAAAUUAUAGUAGAUAACGCUGAAAACUAUUAAUUUCUACAAUAAUAGAUUUAUCAGAAAACAGUUGUGGCUGUUGGCAGCAAAGAUUUCCAGCUUUAUAAAUAAAUUUGACAUUGACUGUUUUUCUAAGAUCAUCCUCCAUGAUUUUCUUCUAUUAUUUAUUCUACUUUCCAGAUACCAAAAAACAUCAAUAUAUUCCCAAAAACCGGCAGUGUGUUUUAAGUGGUUGGGCUGAAAAACAAAAGCUACAUGAUAAAAUCUUUUGCCACUUUUUCUUUGUAUUAUUUCCCUGAGAACCGUUUGGAAGGUUCCAAGAUGGCCGCUUGGUCCAGUACCAGCAUCAACUGAGCCCAACCAGCCUACAGGGCAGCA